rnacentral:rRNA from 2 species
ACAGAUGGGAGCUUGCUCCCUGAUGUUAGCGGCGGACGGGUGAGUAACACGUGGGUAACCUGCCUGUAAGACUGGGAUAACUCCGGGAAACCGGGGCUAAUACCGGAUGGUUGUUUGAACCGCAUGGUUCAAACAUAAAAGGUGGCUUCGGCUACCACUUACAGAUGGACCCGCGGCGCAUUAGCUAGUUGGUGAGGUAACGGCUCACCAAGGCAACGAUGCGUAGCCGACCUGAGAGGGUGAUCGGCCACACUGGGACUGAGACACGGCCCAGACUCCUACGGGAGGCAGCAGUAGGGAAUCUUCCGCAAUGGACGAAAGUCUGACGGAGCAACGCCGCGUGAGUGAUGAAGGUUUUCGGAUCGUAAAGCUCUGUUGUUAGGGAAGAACAAGUACCGUUCGAAUAGGGCGGUACCUUGACGGUACCUAACCAGAAAGCCACGGCUAACUACGUGCCAGCAGCCGCGGUAAUACGUAGGUGGCAAGCGUUGUCCGGAAUUAUUGGGCGUAAAGGGCUCGCAGGCGGUUUCUUAAGUCUGAUGUGAAAGCCCCCGGCUCAACCGGGGAGGGUCAUUGGAAACUGGGGAACUUGAGUGCAGAAGAGGAGAGUGGAAUUCCACGUGUAGCGGUGAAAUGCGUAGAGAUGUGGAGGAACACCAGUGGCGAAGGCGACUCUCUGGUCUGUAACUGACGCUGAGGAGCGAAAGCGUGGGGAGCGAACAGGAUUAUAUACCCUGGUAGUCCACGCCGUAAACGAUGAGUGCUAAGUGUUAGGGGGGUUUCCGCCCCUUAGUGCUGCAGCUAACGCAUUAAGCACUCCGCCUGGGGAGUACGGUCGCAAGACUGAAACUCAAAGGAAUUGACGGGGGCCCGCACAAGCGGUGGGAGCAUGUGGUUUAAUUCUAAGCAACGCGAAGAACCUUACCAGGUCUUGACAUCCU